UCAGAAAGAAGUUAUUUCUGUCAAAAUAAAUAAAUAAAAUCAAAAAAUUGUCCAGUAGCACCUGAGAGACCUACUAAGGUGCUACUGGACAAUUUAAUUUUUAUUUAUUUAUUUUGACUGCGUCAGACCAGCA